GGAAUUGUUCGCAAUGGGCGCAAGCCUGACGACGCAACGCCGCGUGGAGGAUGAAGAUUUUCGGAUCGUAAACUCCUGUCGAGUGGGAAGAAUGCUUCGGGGGCGAAUAGCUCCCGGAAUUGACGGUACCACUAAAGGAAGCCCCGGCUAACUCCGUGCCAGCCGCCGCGGUAAUACGGGGGGGGGCAAGCGUUGUUCGGAAUUACUGGGCGUAAAGGGCUCGUAGGCGGCCAACUAAGUCGGAUGUGAAAUCCCCAGGCUCAACCUGGGAACGGCAUCCGAUACUGGAUGGCUUGAAUUCGGGAGAGGGAUGCAGAAUUCCAGGUGUAGCGGUGAAAUGCGUAGAUAUCUGGAGGAAUACCGGUGGCGAAGGCGGCAUCCUGGACCGAGAUUGACGCUGAGGAGCGAAAGCUAGGGGAGCAAAC
rnacentral:rRNA from 1 species